CAAAAUUCCUGUUGCAGGAUGAUGAUGAAACAAUCUCUGCUGCCUCAGAGUGGGAGGAUCCUGGAAGGUCUAUGGAGAAUGUGAUUGGUGAUCAUGAAUCUGAUGAGGAACCAUCCACCUCCAAAGCUCAGCUUGGAACAUUGGCUGUAAAGGAUUUAUACAAGGUCCACCUGAAAAAAACAAAUUGAAAAGUGUGAUCUUCAGAUGGAACAUAUAAAACUCCAAAUAAAACAGACAAGACUGGAAAUUGAGUUGCUGGAAUAUAAAUUAAAGGUGGGAGUAGUUGCUGUGAGUGUAUAUAUGUUCUUACCAAGAAUAAGGACAAGAAAAUUAACUUGUUGGCAUUUUUUUU